CUAACAAAAACCACUAUUAAAAAAAAAGGAGAGACACAUAAGACAGACUUUCAGAAGAGUGAGAAAAAAAAACUGAAUGGGAUGUACUCAAUUUGGCUCCUUGGGCCCUGAAACAUUAUGAUAUUCCCCAAUCUCCCUGAUUUUUCUUUAGGAUUCAUAUGGAGGAAAAAAUAUAGACCCUUAAACUUAAUUUAGAAGUUAAAUUCCACAAGGCAGAGAUAUUCUGGAUUAUUUUAUUAUCCAUGGAUCUCUAGUGCUAAGAUCUGUUCAAUAGGCAAAUCCACUAUUUGGGAAAAGCCACAUUUGUGCUUAUAGCAAAUGAUAUGACAUUAUUUUUCAAAUAUCCAAGUUUCAUGAAAACUAGAGGCUAAAAGUUAUAACCCAAAUUAAAUUUGGAUUUCAAUUAUCCACGUAUGUUUCUGUCCUUUCCCAGUUCCAGGGCUCCCCGGGAUUCUCCUUCUGCUGACCUGCUGCUGCCCACUCCUCACUAUGGGCUCCUUCUGACUGCCUCUUCGUCCACUCUGGUGGUGUCUCCGCCAUCUGUGUGUGAGAGAACUACCAGCAUCACUCAGCUCCAUACCACAACUGCCAACCAGUCACCAGUCUUAAGCACUACCCUAGACAACCUAAGGUUCCAUGUCAAAGAGCUUUUACAGCUCCAGGAAAUGAGGUCCUCUAGAGCAGCCACGGAGCAGAGAACGGGUACUUAUCAUCAUUACAUUCUACAUGUGCACAAGCAACCACACAGAACCACCUGAGAAUCAGUUUGCUGUAUGAUUGCAUUUGUCCGCCCUGAAUUACACGGUGCAUAUAUUCUAGGUAAAGACAUUUUAAAAAACUGUUUUCCCCUUAACACACACCAUCAUUUAUGAAACACUCUGACUGAUUCACUACUUAACUCUAGCUGUAAAUUUCUUACUAAUUGCCUUCCCAAAGCCUCUGUCUGCCCACCCCCUUCUUCCUUCCUUUAUACAUUUUCGAACUUAAAACCUAUGAUGAAAACCUUCAAAAAUAAUAAACUUUCUUUUUUUUGUUUUUGUA